AGAGUUUGAUCAUGGCUCAGAUUGAACGCUGGCGGCAGGCCUAACACAUGCAAGUCGAGCGGUAGCACAGAGAGCUUGCUCUCGGGUGACGAGCGGCGGACGGGUGAGUAAUGUCUGGGAAACUGCCUGAUGGAGGGGGAUAACUACUGGAAACGGUAGCUAAUACCGCAUAACGUCGCAAGACCAAAGUGGGGGACCUUCGGGCCUCAUGCCAUCAGAUGUGCCCAGAUGGGAUUAGCUGGUAGGUGGGGUAACGGCUCACCUAGGCGACGAUCCCUAGCUGGUCUGAGAGGAUGACCAGCCACACUGGAACUGAGACACGGUCCAGACUCCUACGGGAGGCAGCAGUGGGGAAUAUUGCACAAUGGGCGCAAGCCUGAUGCAGCCAUGCCGCGUGUGUGAAGAAGGCCUUCGGGUUGUAAAGCACUUUCAGCGGGGAGGAAGGCGGUGAGGUUAAUAACCUCAUCGAUUGACGUUACCCGCAGAAGAAGCACCGGCUAACUCCGUGCCAGCAGCCGCGGUAAUACGGAGGGUGCAGCGUUAAUCGGAAUUACUGGGCGUAAAGCGCACGCAGGCGGUCUGUCAAGUCGGAUGUGAAAUCCCCGGGCUCAACCUGGGAACUGCAUUCGAAACUGGCAGGCUAGAGUCUUGUAGAGGGGGGUAGAAUUCCAGGUGUAGCGGUGAAAUGCGUAGAGAUCUGGAGGAAUACCGGUGGCGAAGGCGGCCCCCUGGACAAAGACUGACGCUCAGGUGCGAAAGCGUGGGGAGCAAACAGGAUUAGAUACCCUGGUAGUCCACGCUGUAAACGAUGUCGAUUUGGAGGUUGUGCCCUUGAGGCGUGGCUUCCGGAGCUAACGCGUUAAAUCGACCGCCUGGGGAGUACGGCCGCAAGGUUAAAACUCAAAUGAAUUGACGGGGGCCCGCACAAGCGGUGGAGCAUGUGGUUUAAUUCGAUGCAACGCGAAGAACCUUACCUGGUCUUGACAUCCACAGAACUUUCCAGAGAUGGAUUGGUGCCUUCGGGAACUGUGAGGACAGGUGCUGCAUGGCUGUCGUCAGCUCGUGUUGUGAAAUGUUGGGUUAAGUCCCGCAACGAGCGCAACCCUUAUCCUUUGUUGCCAGCGGUUAGGCCGGGAACUCAAAGGAGACUGCCAGUGAUAAACUGGAGGAAGGUGGGGGAUGACGUCAAGUCAUCAUGGCCCUUACGACCAGGGCUACACACGUGCUACAAUGGCAUAUACAAAGAGAAGCGACCUCGCGAGAGCAAGCGGACCUCAUAAAGUAUGUCGUAGUCCGGAUUGGAGUCUGCAACUCGACUCCAUGAAGUCGGAAUCGCUAGUAAUCGUAGAUCAGAAUGCUACGGUGAAUACGUUCCCGGGCCUUGUACACACCGCCCGUCACACCAUGGGAGUGGGUUGCAAAAGAAGUAGGUAGCUUAACCUUCGGGAGGGCGCUUACCACUUUGUGAUUCAUGACUGGGGUGAAGUCGUAACAAGGUAACCGUAGGGGAACCUGCGGUUGGAUCACCU
rnacentral:rRNA from 2 species